UCCAGAUCUAGGAAUGUAAUUGGAAAGUUCCCCUGCGGCUACCGUACUUGCCCUCCAGUUUAAGGGCAGCUGAGAAGAGACCUGUUCCCUGCACACUCCCUGUUCCAGGAGAUUGAAAAUUCAUACAUGCCUCUACUGGACAUUUCUGGGCUGGGGUCCAUUGAGAAGCUGCCAUCAUCAAAAAGCCAAGCGUCUUAUACUGUAGCCUCUGCACCCUCAAACUCCAAGGUGACUGUGGGAAAACAUAAUGAAAGUGUGUGGGUGACUCUGCUGGAGUGUGGAUGCUCCGAGCUGGCUAGGAGUCUGGAGAAGAGCCAAGUGGGCGAAGCACUUAGGUACAGUAGUGGCACACAUACCUUGGCAGUAACCAAUGGCUCUCUAAUUGGACUGAAGACUCUCAUAACAAGAGGGAUACUAUGUGUGAUAACAGAAAGCUAGCUAAGAGACAAUAAAAGUCAUGAUACCGAAAAUAAUACGUAGUGAAAUUGAAGUAUUUUAUAACGUUCUAUGAUAAUGAUCAUUUAUAUAAGCUAACCCAUUAUAAUGAUAUGCAUGGCAUGUAAACUUGCUGACUUGUUUCUAAAUCUUAUUUGAAAAUAUUAUUCACAAUUAAAGUUGUUACAGCUCAGGCAAA